AAUUAAGGACAAAAGCCUAAAGAAUUGGGAAAAAUAUUUCAAUAAUGCCCUAAAAAAAAAAAAAAAAAAAAAAAAAAAAUUACAUAAAAAAACCGCAGUCCCCAACCAUGGACAAGAUCUAAAUACAGAAAAUUAGACACAUGCAUUACAAGACUAAUAACAACACACACAAGACUAAAGCACCAUCUAAAAAGGAUAAAAAUUUAAAAUUAUCCUUUUUGCAGAUGAUGUAAAAAUCAAGAAGAAACAGGAACACACUCCUUCACUGUCCAAGAUUCAAUUCAAUCAGUGAUAUUGUUGGAAGCAUUAAAGAAAACAAAAAUUAAUAACCCAGGUGUAAAACUGUUGAUCACAUGAGAAGAUUUCCCAGAAGAUCAAAAAUAUUACAUAUUAAGACAUACCAAAAUAUUCUUACAAAAAACAAAAAUUAUAGACAUGAUAUAAUAGAAGAAAGACGAUGAAAGAAAAAGGAUCCGGGGGAUAUGGACAGAAAGAGUCUGAAACCCUAUAAAAGAAAAAAGAAGAACAGGAAGUCUCCUUCGUGAAAUAGUUGCAAUGAACCUCCUUGGAGUGGGCAUCUAAAAGUAGCUUCAAAUUAUGAGUUUAGUGAAUAGAAGAAUAUAUAAUGAACAAUGAACUGGAGCUCUAAAUGAAAUUAUUUAUAAUUCCCAUGAGAAAAUAGACGGGAAAACAGUGCCGGCAGGAGCGGCACUGACGACUACCCGACCAUAGACAAAGACUUUCGCUUAAAUGUCAUAGAGUCAACACGUAAAAUCUUAACUCGAGUGAAGUAAAGUUUAAGAAUAUUCAAUGAACGCAAAUUUAAACCCAGAUCCAGGAGAAAAUUCUGGAAUCUUAAAAGAAAUGGACUACGACUCACAAACAAAUAGAAGACGGACAGAAGAAGUGACAGUGAAGAAAACCCAGAUCCCAAACCGGCAGAAACUUAGAAGAAUUUCAACCACCUUAUAUAGACAACACAACAGUGCAGACCAUUCACCAGCUAAGAAGUACUACAUAUUAAGACAUAAGAAGAUAUUACAAAUAUUAAUAGAUAUAUAAAAUCUCCAAUCGACAAAAAGAGAGCUAAGAAACAUAGAUCCAGGGAAUAUAGACUUCAAAAUUCUGAAACCGUAUAAAAGAAGAAGAGAGAAGUCUGCUUCAGCUGCUAGGAUAGCUUCUAGUUUUGCUGAACACAUCGCUGAACUUGAAAAAGGAGGCAAUUGACCACAAAUGCAGAAUUACUGCAUUUUGAGACACAAAAAUCUACAAUACUCAAUAAUAGAUGAAAAUUGAGUUAGCAAAACAAUCCAGGGAAUAAAAUCAGCAAUAAUACAGUCUCACCCCUAAGAAAGUAGUGAAGUCAGUGAAGUUUGUGGAAUAAAGAUGUCAUCUAAUAAUUGUACAGCCACAGAGUUAGGUGAACUAAAAAAACAGAUAAGGCAAGCAAGAAAUGAACUGAAGAACUUAAGGCAGGCUAGGCAGAUGGCGUACUAU